UACGUAGGGUGCGAGCGUUGUCCGGAAUUAUUGGGCGUAAAGAGCUCGUAGGCGGUGUGUCGCGUCGGCCGUGAAAACCUGGGGCUCAACUCUGGGCGUGCGGUCGAUACGGGCAUCACUUGAGUUCGGUAGGGAGACUGGAAUUCCUGGUGUAGCGGUGGAAUGCGCAGAUAUCAGGAGGAACACCGAGUGGCAAGGCAGGUCUCUGGGCCAUUACUGACACUGAGAAGCGAAAGCAUGGGGAGCGAACAGG
rnacentral:rRNA from 1 species